rnacentral:misc_RNA from 1 species
GUGAAUCAUCAAAUUUUUGAACGCAAAUUGCACUCUCCGGUUUUCCGGGAGAGUAUGCCUGUUUGAGGGUCAGCCUAAAAAAAUCGACAUUGUUGGUGGUAUUUUAUGGUUGCUUUCGUCGGAGAUUGGGUUAUCUUAAAACUUUUUUUUUUUUUUGGUUUAAGGGGCUUAAAAUUUUUCUUCACGAUUCCAUGAACGUUUCUAAGAUUUUUAUUUCUUUUACGUUUUAGGGUUUUCCAUUUUUUAUUUGACGUGUCCG